AGUUAGGAAUUUGUUUCUUGCUGUAGCUUAAACCCGAAUUAAUGUUAGUAUGGGUAGGGAUAGUUGGUCACGUGGUUUUGGUAUAUUGAGGUUAAGAUGUUGGAUCUAAUCUAAGCUUUGGGAUAGAUCCGACUUAUUUAGUUAACCCAGAUUAAUGGAUGAAUUCAGAAGGAUAAUUAAUGAUUAUAUUGGUUAGGGUUUUCCUAACUAGUUUUGGGAAUUUUAUUUAGCUAUUUAAUUUAUAAGAACUUAGCUAAAAUAAAAUACACUGAUAUAGGAAUCUGUUGAGACAAGAUCACGACAUAAAGUUUAUUUCAGUUACGAUCUCUAUUUUUGAGGCGGGUAUCUUUGACUUAUCUCUUUUGAUAUUGUCAUUUUGAUAUGCAUAGUAUGUUAUAUCUAGUAGUAAUGAUUAUGUUUAUAUAUGCCUUGGUAUGUCACAACUUGAUACCUGUAGUAUGCCCUUAUUGUUGUCUGUUCUGCAUUAUUGCUUAUGUUCUCUUGAUUCUUACACUACAACAAAAAUGUUAAAUGACAACACCACAAAGACAACGGUUUUAGAAGAAACUAUUGUAAAUUUGGUAAAAGAUAACAGUUUUAGAUAAAAUCGUUGUCUUUAAGCUGCCAUAAAAUACAAAAGACAAUAGUUUUUGUGAAAAUGGUUGUCGUCGAGCAAUUUUUUUUUAAAAUUAACAAUGCAUUUUACAACAGUUAUCUAAAACCGUUGUCUUUAAGUACUUUUUUAGGGGCUAUGAUAACAAUUUUGCAAAUUGUUGUGUUUUUAUAUUGUUUUAUAUAGUCAAAGACAACGGUUUAUUAAAACUAUUGUCUUUGACUUUAUUCUUUCGGUGUUUUUCCCUCUCUCCGAAAAAUUUUUGGCUCCGUGUUUUCGGCCUUACCCUUCCUGAACCCUUCUUAUCCAUUUUUAUUUCCCUCUCCCUAUACGAUCUCUUCACGCUCCUACUACCGAAAUCCUAAGCAUCUUAAUUCAACCCCUCUCCGGCGAACCCCUCUCCACAAAUUGUUAAGUGGAGAGGAGGUGGAGGAAGGUGAUGAGUUUGUUCAUCGGAACACGCGCCAGCGACGGGGACUCAUCGAACCUUGUUUGCUAGCUUGACUGCGUCUAGGGCAUGGUCGACGCUCUCUCUUUUGUCUGGUGGAAUCGUCAUCAAGUUCACAUCUCCCUUCACCUCUUUCCUUUGCUUACUCAUUAGGGUUUCAUCUUACCUGCUUCCUCAUGAGGAUGUUGUGGUCGAGAUCUCCGAACACGAACUCGUCAUCAUUGUGGAGGAGUUUGGUUGCCUUCUGGCCAGGGUGUACUUAAAAUGUGAGUAUGCAACGAAAGGAUAACCAAGGUUCGGCGUGAUCUUGGGGCUCUUCGUUGAUUACCUCAACAUCUUUUCCACUCUUGGACAUUCCCUUGCCAUCGAAAUCAGUUACCCUGGUCUGGACAUGCAACUAUUUUUGAAGUAAGCUUCUUCUUUCUCUUGAUUGUGUAUCUAUAAAGCUAAACUACAUUGUUGCAAGGGUUAGAUUAUGAAGGUAUGUGUAAUUCAUCAAGCAGUUUGUGUUCUAUCUCUAUGAAUUCAUUGUUUGCUGAAUUCUAUUGGGUACUCUUGUGAUCUCUACA